rnacentral:tRNA from 1 species
GGGGCGAUAUUUCAACCGGGAGAAUCCUACCCCCGCACGGUAGGGAUCGGGGUUCGAGCCCCCGUCGCUCCA